rnacentral:rRNA from 1 species
GAGAGUUUGAUCCUGGCUCAGAUUGAACGCUGGCGGCAGGCUUAACACAUGCAAGUCGAGCGGGGAAGAGUAGCUUGCUACUUAACUUAGCGGCGGACGGGUGAGUAAUACUUAGGAAUCUACCUAAUAGUGGGGGACAACAUCUCGAAAGGGAUGCUAAUACCGCAUACGCCCUACGGGGGAAAGCAGGGGAUCUUCGGACCUUGCGCUAAUAGAUGAGCCUAAGUCGGAUUAGCUAGUUGGUGGGGUAAAGGCCUACCAAGGCGACGAUCUGUAGCGGGUCUGAGAGGAUGAUCCGCCACACUGGGACUGAGACACGGCCCAGACUCCUACGGGAGGCAGCAGUGGGGAAUAUUGGACAAUGGGGGGAACCCUGAUCCAGCCAUGCCGCGUGUGUGAAGAAGGCCUUUUGGUUGUAAAGCACUUUAAGCGAGGAGGAGGCUCCCAGUAUUAAUACUACUGGAGAGUGGACGUUACUCGCAGAAUAAGCACCGGCUAAC